GAUGAACGCUAGCGACAGGCCUAACACAUGCAAGUCGAGGGGCAGCACGUCUUCGGAUGGUGGCGACCGGCGCACGGGUGAGUAACGCGUAUGCAACCUACCCAUAUCAGGGGGAUAGCCUUUAGAAAUGAAGAUUAACACCGCAUAAUACUAUGUUUCGGCAUCGGAGUGUAGUUAAAUAUUUAUAGGAUAUGGAUGGGCAUGCGUAUGAUUAGAUAGUUGGUGAGGUAACGGCUCACCAAGUCGACGAUCAUUAGGGGUUCUGAGAGGAAGGUCCCCCACACUGGUACUGAGACACGGACCAGACUCCUACGGGAGGCAGCAGUGAGGAAUAUUGGUCAAUGGGCGAGAGCCUGAACCAGCCAAGUCGCGUGAGGGAAGACGGCGUUAUGCGUUGUAAACCUCUUUUAUUGGGGAAUAAAGAUUAGGACGUGUCCUAUGUUGUAUGUACCCAAGGAAUAAGCAUCGGCUAACUCCGUGCCAGCAGCCGCGGUAAUACGGAGGAUGCGAGCGUUAUCCGGAUUUAUUGGGUUUAAAGGGUGCGUAGGCGGUUUGAUAAGUCAGUGGUGAAAGUUUGCGGCUUAACCGUAAAAUUGCCAUUGAAAACUGUCAGACUUGAGUGCGGUAGAGGUAAGUGGAAUUCGUAGUGUAGCGGUGAAAUGCUUAGAUAUUACGAAGAACUCCGAUUGCGAAGGCAGCUUGCUGGACCGUAACUGACGCUCAGGCACGAAAGUGUGGGGAUCAAACAGGAUUAGAUACCCUGGUAGUCCACACUGUAAACUAUGAAUGCUAGCUGUUAGCGAUAUACUGUUAGUGGCAAAGAGAAAUCGUUAAGCAUUCCACCUGGGGAGUACGCCGGCAACGGUGAAACUCAAAGGAAUUGACGGGGGCCCGCACAAGCGGAGGAACAUGUGGUUUAAUUCGAUGAUACGCGAGGAACCUUACCCGGGCUUGAAUUGCAGAGGAAUAAUUUGGAAACAGAUUAGCCGUAAGGUCUCUGUGAAGGUGCUGCAUGGUUGUCGUCAGCUCGUGCCGUGAGGUGUCGGCUUAAGUGCCAUAACGAGCGCAACCCUUAUUGAUAGUUACUAACAGGUUAAGCUGAGGACUCUAUCGAGACUGCCACCGCAAGGUGUGAGGAAGGUGGGGAUGACGUCAAAUCAGCACGGCCCUUACGUCCGGGGCGACACACGUGUUACAAUGGGGGGGACAAAAGGCAGCUACCGAGUGAUCGGAUGCUAAUCUCUAAACCCUCUCUCAGUUCGGAUCGAAGUCUGCAACUCGACUUCGUGAAGCUGGAUUCGCUAGUAAUCGCGCAUCAGCCAUGGCGCGGUGAAUACGUUCCCGGGCCUUGUACACACCGCCCGUCAAGCCAUGGGAGCCGGGGGGACCUGAAGUAUGCAACCGCGAGGAGCGUCCUAGGGUAAAACUGGUGACUGGGGC
rnacentral:rRNA from 1 species